rnacentral:tmRNA from 1 species
GCAGGCUCGCUGAACCGGACCCUGUCUGUCGGGCUCUGUUCAGUCAAAUUAUAGACAGACUAAGCAUGUAGCUGCCGAUGUGCGUAGGGCUUGCGGACGCGGGUUCGAUUCCCGCCGCCUCCACCA